GUGCCAGCCGCCGCGGUAAUACGUAGGCAGCGAGCGUUGUUCGGAGUUACUGGGCGUAAAGGGUGCGUAGGCGGUUUUCCAAGUCUGGUGUGAAAUCUCCCGGCUCAACUGGGAGGGUGCGCUAGAAACUGGGAGGCUGGAGUGCGGGAGAGGUAGGCGGAAUUCCUGGUGUAGCGGUGAAAUGCGUAGAUAUCAGGAGGAACACCGGUGGUGUAGACGGCCUGCUGGACCGUAACUGACGCUGAAGCACGAAAGCGUGGGGAGCAAACAGGAUUAGAAACCCCCGUAGUCC
rnacentral:rRNA from 1 species